CCCGCCGGACGGACGGACGGACGGAGCGGUCGCUGUUCGCGCGUCUCAGCGGUGCGGCGGCCCGGGCGGUGCCUCGUGCUGCCGUGAGCACGGCACGAGGGAUCCGGAACAGCCGCGGCGGAGCGCCGGGCGCGGGCAGCCUCCCCCGCCUGCUGAGGAGAGCAGGCCGCAGCGCCGGGGGCUGCCCGCCCGCCGCUCUCACGCCUUCCUCUCCCCAGCAGCCCCGCACCGCGUCGGGCUCGUCUGCCGGCCCUCCUCCCGCAAAGAGAAAUCAGGCAGCUGUUAAAGAACUGCUUAUCAUCCCUACUGUGCAAUUUCGUAGCUCGACGACCCAGAGCAGCGCUUAUGCUCCCCAAGGGGUUUUGGCCAGGUUUCCUCGUCACACCUUUUUAGCAUUUCUCCGGUAUACGCCAAAUCAAGGAAAGAGUAAAUGCAGUCUCCUGGUUUGGCCUCUUGACAGCCUGGUGUUUUUUCCUGUAUUGCCCCAAAUUCCACUGACUUCCACGAGGCUUGGGAAUUAAGGAAUAUACCCCCCACUCUUCUGUGCCAUGAGCUAUGUCAGUCCGCUAUGAACAACAGACUGUUAAAAUUAGGCUGAGUACAAACAAUGUAUUGAAAAUGAGAAGACAGGCUUUUACCUACUAGGAUGAAGAGGCUAUGAAAACAAACAUGGACUAAUCUAGUGCCUUGCAGCUCUAAUGAAAGGACAUCCUGGUGACUCUGAAGCAGUAGCAGCUUUACCCGAGUAUGAAUUGCUUUCUAAUAUAGGGAGAAACCAGAGCUGUUUCAUCAGUGUCAUUUUCACGCUGAGGCUGGUCUAAGCCAAGGAGUGCACUGAUGAAUUAGUGCAACAUCCCUCCCAGCCAUGGAAGAAUACAUCUUAAAAGCAAAUCCAUAGGUGACUAAUAGGCCAGAUUGGUCAUUGGCUGCUAUGGUAAAGUGCCGAAGCCCAAGCCAGAGGACAUUCUGCAUCUGAUUUCACUAACAGGAUAAAAUCAGCCUCCACAGGCAGAAUUAAGCCCUUAAGGAACUGGACAUAACUAUAUUAAAGCCAUGAAGAUGUGUGGACUGUGGUCCCUUUGUGUACGGCCAUGGCUGGUAACUUGCAGCUCAGUGGAAUCAGCACCUGAAGAGAUUAACAUCGAGAUGGCUGCAGCAAUGCUCCCCAGCUUGGCCAAGGAAUCUGGAGUCCUACACGUGCUUCCCUGCAUGGGAUGUUUCAGCAAUCUCACAAUCCACUUGCGGGUUGUUCCUCCUGUCCUUUGAGCCGGUUAAAAGAUAAACCAUGGUCAAUGUAUUAUACUAUGCCCUUUGUAAUGAAAUAAUGUCAGAUAAUAUGUAUUUAGUGGGGAUUUACAUUCCCGAGCUGAUUACAAGGAGCUGUUAAGGCUUGUAGGGUUUAGUAGUGCUCUGUGUAUAGGUCUAGAACGAUGUUGAAAAGGUUAGGAAUAAAUCUGAAAGCACA